UACAGAGGUCCCAAGCGUUAAUCGGAAUUACUGGGCGUAAAGUGUGCGCAGGCGGCCGCGCAAGUCGAGUGUGAAAGCCCCGAGCUUAACUUGGGAACUGCGCUCGAAACUACGUGGCUGGAGUGUGGCAGAGGGAGGUGGAAUUCCACGUGUAGCGGUGAAAUGCGUAGAGAUGUGGAGGAACACCGAUGGCGAAGGCAGCCUCCUGGGCCAACACUGACGCUCAUGCACGAAAGCGUGGGGAGCAAACAGG
rnacentral:rRNA from 1 species